UGAGUAACCUGCCCUUAACUCUGGGAUAAGCCUGGGAAACUGGGUCUAAUACCGGAUAUGACUCCUCAUCGCAUGGUGGGGGGUGGAAAGCUUUAUUGUGGUUUUGGAUGGACUCGCGGCCUAUCAGCUUGUUGGUGAGGUAAUGGCCCACCAAGGCGACGACGGGUAGCCGGCCUGAGAGGGUGAUCGGCCACAUUGGAACUGAGACACGGUCCAGACUCCUACGGGAGCAG
rnacentral:rRNA from 1 species